UGUCGAGAUUUUCCUCAGUAGUUAACUGUAGUCGGUUUUAAACUGUAUCGACAGUUAACUGCCGAUGAAUAU
rfam:Medicago truncatula strain A17 chromosome 1, whole genome shotgun sequence.